rnacentral:rRNA from 1 species
GACGAACGCUGGCGGCGUGCUUAACACAUGCAAGUCGAACGGAAAGGCCCUGCUUUUGUGGGGUGCUCGAGUGGCGAACGGGUGAGUAACACGUGAGUAACCUGCCCUUGACUUUGGGAUAACUUCAGGAAACUGGGGCUACUACCGGAUCGGAGCUCCUGCUGCAUGGUGGGGGUUGGAAAGUUUCGGCGGUUGGGGAUGGACUCGCGGCUUAUCAGCUUGUUGGUGGGGUAGUGGCUUACCAAGGCUUUGACGGGUAGCCGGCCUGAGAGGGUGACCGGCCACAUUGGGACUGCGAGACGGCCCAGACUCCUACGGGAGGCAGCAGUGGGGAAUAUUGCACAAUGGGCGGAAGCCUGAUGCAGAAACGCCGCGUGCGGGAUGACGGCCUUCGGGUUGUGAACCGCUUUCGCCUGUGACGAAGCGGGAGUGACGGUAAUGGGUAAAGAAGCACCGGCUAACUACGUG